rnacentral:rRNA from 1 species
AUUGAACGCUGGCGGCAGGCCUAACACAUGCAAGUCGAGCGGAUGAAGGGAGCUUGCUCCUGGAUUCAGCGGCGGACGGGUGAGUAAUGCCUAGGAAUCUGCCUGGUAGUGGGGGAUAACGUCCGGAAACGGGCGCUAAUACCGCAUACGUCCUGAGGGAGAAAGUGGGGGAUCUUCGGACCUCACGCUAUCAGAUGAGCCUAGGUCGGAUUAGCUAGUUGGUGGGGUAAAGGCCUACCAAGGCGACGAUCCGUAACUGGUCUGAGAGGAUGAUCAGUCACACUGGAACUGAGACACGGUCCAGACUCCUACGGGAGGCAGCAGUGUGGAAUAUUGGACAAUGGGCGAAAGCCUGAUCCAGCCAUGCCGCGUGUGUGAAGAAGGUCUUCGGAUUGUAAAGCACUUUAAGUUGGGAGGAAGGGCAGUAAGUUAAUACCUUGCUGUUCUGACGUUACCAACAGAAUAAGCACCGGCUAACUUCGUG